GGGGAUAACUACUGGAAACGGUAGCUAAUACCGCAUAACGUCGCAAGACCAAAGAGGGGGACCUUCGGGCCUCUUGCCAUCAGAUGUGCCCAGAUGGGAUUAGCUAGUAGGUGGGGUAAUGGCUCACCUAGGCGACGAUCCCUAGCUGGUCUGAGAGGAUGACCAGCCACACUGGAACUGAGACACGGUCCAGACUCCUACGGGAGGCAGCAGUGGGGAAUAUUGCACAAUGGGCGCAAGCCUGAUGCAGCCAUGCCGCGUGUGUGAAGAAGGCCUUCGGGUUGUAAAGCACUUUCAGCGAGGAGGAAGGUGGUGAACUUAAUACGUUCAUCAAUUGACGUUACUCGCAGAAGAAGCACCGGCUAACUCCGUGCCAGCAGCCGCGGUAAUACGGAGGGUGCAAGCGUUAAUCGGAAUUACUGGGCGUAAAGCGCACGCAGGCGGUUUGUUAAGUCAGAUGUGAAAUCCCCGGGCUCAACCUGGGAACUGCAUUUGAAACUGGCAAGCUAGAGUCUCGUAGAGGGGGGUAGAAUUCCAGGUGUAGCGGUGAAAUGCGUAGAGAUCUGGAGGAAUACCGGUGGCGAAGGCGGCCCCCUGGACGAAGACUGACGCUCAGGUGCGAAAGCG
rnacentral:rRNA from 1 species